rnacentral:rRNA from 1 species
UAACUUUCAACAACGGAUCUCUUGGCUCUUGCAUCGAUGAAGCAACGCAGCUAAAUGCGAUAGGUAAUGUGAAUGCAGAAUUCCGUGAAUCAUCAAAUUUUUGAACGCAAAUUGCACUCUCUGGUAUUCCGGGGAGUUAUACUUGCUUGAGGGUU